rnacentral:tRNA from 1 species
GGUGGCUCAGUGGUAGAGUGCUUGCUUUGCAUGCAUGAGGCCCUAGGCUCGAUUCCUCAGCACCA